rnacentral:rRNA from 1 species
CACUUUCUAGUCAUUGCGUGUGAUCGGACCAACCGUAGGGAUAAGGUAGUUGGUUAAACGUAAUUGAAACACCUUUUUGAGUCUAUCACAUUGCUGGGGACUACAUUGUCCUCCACUUUAUUUUGAAUGAAAUAAAAUGACUUAUUCUACUUAUCAACCAGUAUUAAUUAUUCAAUAGUAGUAUAAAGUGAUAUAAUAACUAUUAUUGCCUGAGAAUUUAAGUUAAUUAUUUAGCUGUAAAUUCUAUAAACUACAGGGUAGUGUGAUAUUUUCACAAAUACAUAAAAGUUGAUUUUUCACAAAGGUAAUAAGAAAUGAGAACAACGGCUAGGUGGCAGUUUAUGCGGGGCACAGAUCCCAUAAAGAGUAGCUGGGUAUAUCCUAAUUCCGAAAAAUUUGGAGAAAAAAAUUAUAUAUUUUUUUUCUUUUGAGUCUUUAUUUAAUAUAUAAAUUUUAUAUAAAUUUAAUAUUUAGCCGAUUGCCUAUGGCGAUUGACCGAUUUUUAAGAUGAAUUUAUAUAUAAGAGGAUAAGAUAUAUUACUUAUCUCUAUAUUUAUUUAAUCACUAUCUUUUUAUUUAAAGUAAAAUUUAAUUUUAAAGCAAGUAAGAUUUUAACUAUAUCGAGGAUAGGUGUAAUAAAUAAAAUUCACAUUUUCUAAUCUUCUGCGGACUCGUUCUGUCUAGAAUGAAUUGUAUGAUAAUUAGAAUAUGUAAUAUGUAUUUAAAAGUUGCUAAAAUCCAAUAUUUCAAUAUUGUGAAUAGUGAUUUUUGAUAAUUACUUGUCAAGUUUAAUGGCAUAAUCUUGCUUAACUGUUUGACCUACGCGUCUAUCAGUCGCGUAAGCGGGGCAUACGAUCGCGGAAUGCACAAAGGACUGGUUCCGUAUAAGUAAGU